UACGUAGGGGGCAAGCGUUAUCCGGAUUUACUGGGCGUAAAGGGCGCGUAGGCGGCCAGCACAAGUCAGUUGUGAAAUCUCCGGGCUUAACUCGGAAAGGUCAACUGAUACUGUGCGACUAGAGUGCGGAAGGGGCAACUGGAAUUCUCGGUGUAGCGGUGAAAUGCGUAGAUAUCGAGAGGAACACCUGCGGCGAAGGCGGGUUGCUGGGCCGACACUGACGCUGAUGCGCGAAAGCCAGGGGAGCGAACGGG
rnacentral:rRNA from 1 species